rnacentral:tRNA from 1 species
UGCUGGUCGGUCUGCUUGCGGCGGGAAUCUUCCUCAGAAGAAGAGAGUGAGUACUCUCAUCAUCCGCUGCGUUCGAGCCGCAGGCGAGUGA